rnacentral:lncRNA from 1 species
ACAACUACCUUGAAGGUGAAGUUCCAAGUGGAGGAGUUUUUAAAAAUGUGAGUGGGAUUUCAAUCACCGGGAACAAGAAGCUUUGUGGAGGAAUCCGUCAAUUGCAGCUGCCAGCAUGCUCUGAUAUAGAGUCAGGAAAGAAUGGGAAAGGGAAGCAUCUUUCAAUCAAAAUUAUUAUAGCCAUAAGCAUUACUGCUGUUUCUUGCCUGGCUCUCAUAGUGGCUUCAGUUCUCCUCUAUGGGAGAAAAAA